CCUACGGGUGGCAGCAGUGAGGAAUAUUGGUCAAUGGACGAGAGUCUGAACCAGCCACGUAGCGUGAAGGAUGACUGCUCUAUGGGUUGUAAACUUCUUUUCUAAAAGAAUAAAACGAGGCACGUGUGCCUUUUUGCAUGUACUUUAUUAAUAAGGAUCGGCUAACUCCUUGCCAGCAGCCGCGGUAAUACGGAGGAUCCGAGCGUUAUCCGGAUUUAUUGGGUUUAAAGGGAGCGUAGAUGGGUUGUUAAGUCAGUUGUGAAAUUUUGCGGCUUAACCGGAAAAUUGCAAUUGAUACUGGCAGUCUAGAGUACAGUUGAGGUAGGCGGAAUGCGUGGUGUAGCGGUGAAAUGCUUAGAUAUCACGAAGAACCCCGAUUGCGAAGGCAGCUUACUAAACUGUGACUGACAUUGAUGCUCGAAAGUGUGGGUAUCAAACAGGAUUAGAUACCCCAGUAGUC
rnacentral:rRNA from 1 species